GACGAACGCUGGCGGCGUGCCUAAUACAUGCAAGUAGGACGCAGUUGCGAACGGGUGAGUAACGCGUAGGUAACUACCUAUUAGAGGGGGAUAACUAUUGGAAACGAUAGCUAAUACCGCAUACUAGUAGCUGGACCUGCGUUGUAUUAGCUAGGAGGUAGGGUAAUGGCCGACCUAGGCAACGAUACAUAGCCGACCUUAGGAGAAGAUCGGCCACACUGGAACUGAGACACGGCCCAAACUCCUGCAGGAGGCAGCAGAAAGGAAUCAUCGGCAAUGGGGGGAACCCUUACCGGGCAACGGCGCGUGGGUGAAGAAGGUUUUCAGGUCUUAAAGCUCUGUUGUUAAGGAAGCGGUACUUAACCAGAAAGGGACGGCUAACUACGUGCCAGCAGCCGCGGUAAUAC
rnacentral:rRNA from 1 species